GGCUUGGUGGUGGAGUGGUCCACGUCUGCAUCUGAUAUAAAUUCUGCUGUACAAUUAUGCAAAAGUAGCCCGUUCGAUUCGGGUCCAAGCUA